GUCUGAACUAAUCCACUAACCAAUAAAAAUCGAGAAUUCUUGCAUAAAUCUAAAUAUAUUAAAGCCGUCUGGAUUUCCGAGCGCUGAUUGGUUGAGGGGUUUCAGGACAGCCAAUCGUUUAAAUGACAGGCACCCAGCUGUAAGCUAAGUCCCGCCCUCCGCUUCGACAAAUCCCGGAAAUGCUCUCUUAAAGAGACAGACGAGGAAUUUCCAGAGGAGAUUGCAACAACGAAAACAGCUGCGAGCUCACAAAAAAGACGAAAUAAGGCUGGAAAAAAGGAGAAGAGGACGGAGGUGCUGUGUGGCGAAGCGGCCGAGCUCAAACUAACUUUAUUUGAGGACUCUCACGGCUAAUGUGGUCAACGAUUUCUGGCCUUGAGGUCGAUUUUACGCUUCGGGAACGUUAGCUACCUAGAAACCGACAACGUAGCAGUCAACACGGCAGGGCGAUAACAAAAAAAAAAAAAAAAAAAAAAAGAAAGGCACCGGACGGACACACGUCAGUGAUCACCUGGAACUGCGUCCGAGACUCCCUUUCUGAGAGGGGCUCCGGUUGGAAUGACCCAGCCAUGAUGCCACAGCCAUGCCCCACCUGUCGCCCAGGUGUUCCCGGACGGAGAGCCUGGCCAUCCGCCAGUCUUAGAGGGAGUGCCAACAGAAUCGUCAGUCAUCUGGAAUCAGAGAUAUUCCCCCCCCAGAGCCUCUCGCAGUACUGACGCUGCGCCCCUGCUGGUCAGUUGUAUGAGUUUUGACAAAAAUAAUAGAGCAGUGAUUUGUGGGGUCAGAUUAGGAUUAAAAUGUUUAAAUUUUAUUUAAACAUUAUACAAAGUAAAUUUAAAACUUGAAUAAAAAAAUCUGUAAACCUAAAAGUACUAAAUAAUGAAAAAAAGUUGCUGUUUUGUAUUUUCACGUUUUUUCAUUUCAAUUUUUCUCACUUUUCGCUUUUAAUCCUCAAUCGACAGUUCCAAUUCAGAAUUUUUUCUACUGGUGCUGAGCCUAAUUUUACGUGGGGGUCGGGCUUUAAAUCCCAUUGCCUACUGGGACAGCGGUUAUAGUGAUGUCAUUUCCGCUCCUCUGUGUCAUCCCUCCUCUGAGGGAGAGCACUGUUGCUCCUGUACUCCACCUCAGAGGAGGGAUGAUGCAGGCUUCUGCAAAAGUCUGCAAGAACUAGUGUCCAUCAAUAAAUAUUGCUAUUUUAAAAGAAUAAU
rnacentral:lncRNA from 1 species